rnacentral:lncRNA from 10 species
UCCAGUUUGAAUCUAUUUUCUAAACAAUAUAGCCAUUGACCUUUUCUCUUAGGAAAAUAACAAUUAAAAACACAAAAAUCUGCUCAGGCCGAAUAUAGCCUUCAGGAAAUACCCUUAAGCUUUAACCAGUGCACAGCCAGUCACUUGGUGCUUGCUGUAAAGGAAUUUAUAAUGGGAAAACAAUGUUCCCCAGGAAACUGGUUUACUUUCAGACACGUUAUUAGACAAAGGGAGUAAAGGAGAGUCAGGGAAGUGAGCCAAGAAACCUGUGGGGCCGAGGGCUGCAUGGCUGAGUCACUAUGUGGGCCUGGUGUGCCAGUCCAGCAAGAGUGGUGCGAUUCUCUCACAUCUGUGUCUGUCCCGAGCCAGAGACCUGACCUCCAGCAGACAUCCUUAGAAGGGCGCCAGUCCAGUCUUCUCAUUUCACAGAGGAGGAAGGUUUUGUAAAAUAAGGUGCGGAUAUUGCACUAUUUUACCCAUCUUGGGGAUAGUGAAAGAGUCGUGGAGCUACUGUAAGUGGUACAUUGAAUGAGCUGAAUUCAGCAUGAUGUCAGCCAAAACCUCUGGACCCCAGUGAACUCACUCUGGACCAGUUGCUCUGCCUGCCUCUGGACUGAAACCUGGCCACACCACCUGGGGAGGGGAAGGGAGGAAGGAACUCUGAGCUGCCAUAUAGUCUCGAUGGAGCCUCAGCUGACCCCAGAGAGUUUUGAAGUUGGGAUGACCCUUCAGAGAUGUCCCCAUUUGGCAAGGGGCCCAGGCCUUUGUUCUCCCACAUCUGUUGGCCAAUGGCUGCUGGCCUCCCCAGGAAGGCAGCAUGGCCUCUGGGAGCUGAUAGCUGAGGGCUGUCUGCAGGCGGCAGUCCUAGCGGCAGGGCACCAACCCUUCAUCCUGCCUCAGGACAUCCCAGUGUCCAUACAGGGAACUGGAGAAAAAGGGCACAAUCCUUAGCUGGUACAGGUGUAACCUGCCAUCGGAGACUUCUGGCAGAUGUGCAAGUGCAAGCUCGUCUUCAGUGAGGAGCUUUUGGGGUUUCCCAAAAGAUCCCUCCAAGGACCUCUGACUGCAGUUCCUUGCACAGACAGUGCUUCUCCGGCCAGCUGCCGUGGCCCCACACAGGCCUGGGAUUUUUGUGUGCACUCCUCUGUGGGAUCCCUCCCCUCCCAGGUGCUCCUUUAGCAUAGGAGCUCCUUAAAGAUGACUCAUGGCUAGACAAUGUCCCCACAGUUCAUGUCCUGCUCCUUGGAAAAAGGUACCUUUGUCUCACUCUCGGUGACCAACUAUGCUGGUUUUUCCAGGACCGUCCUGGUUUUAGCACAGAAAGUCUCACUUCCCAGGAAACCUUUCAGUCCUGGCAAACCAGGGUGGUGGGUCGCCCUAGAACAUAUGGACCUGAAACAGCCACACCUCUGCACUUCAGCUGCGGUGUCACACAGGAGGCUUUUCAGGUGUGAAUUAAAUAGCAUUUCUUAUGCCCAUCAAACUCCAGCGACUUAUGGAAAGCCUUCCAAAUGGCCAGUGAAGCCCCUCCUCAAGGCUUGCGUGGUAGGGGAAGUGCACAGGCUAUGACCCUUGAAGUCAGGGGAAAACAGAACAUGAGGGCUGAUGCUCCAAAGCAAGCCUGCCUCUCCCAGAAUCCUCAGUGUCUCCUGACACCUUAUUUAGCCUGGAAGUGGGUCAUGGGCUACGGUUUACAAAACCUAUCUCAAAACCCGCUGGUCCAGCUGCUGGGGGUGGAGUGAGGUGAACUCUCUGGGUAUAAAGUCCCAGGAGAACUUGUGCUCAGUGGGAAAUGGUUCCUAGAGGGGCUGUUAACCAUCUUCAGAGGGAGGCUGGACAGGAAUCUGCUUCUCAGCAUCAGCAUUCAUGGCACCCUUUUUUCCUUCAAAUUCUUUAGCUUUAGGCCAGAAGCUUUAGAGAGUUAUGUAUAUAAAAAUCACCCAAGGAUUCUAUUAAAAAUGUAGCUUAUCUGUUCUUAAACUUGAAAAGAUGCUAACCUCACUUAUAAUAAAAGAAGCACAAAUUAAAACUAUAGCAAGACAAUAUUUCUAACCUGUCAAAUCAGCAAAACAUCUGAUAUUUUCUGUUGGUAAUGCUAUGGUGGAAAUCAACACUCUUAUGCAUGGUUGGCUUUGUCCCUGAGGAGAGGCAUCUGGCAAUACCCAACACAAUUAUAGGUGCGUUUACCCUCUGAUCCAGAAACCCACAUCUGAUCAUCUAUACUAGAGAUACACCUGUACGUAUAAUAAAUGACACAUGCAGACAAUCAUUUCUUUUUUUUUUUUUUUUUUUUGA